rnacentral:rRNA from 1 species
UACGUAGGGCGCAAGCGUUGUCCGGAAUUACUGGGCGUAAAGGGCUCGUAGGCGGCCAACUAAGUCGGAUGUGAAAUCCCCAGGCUUAACUUGGGAACUGCAUCCGAUACUGGAUGGCUUGAAUCCGGGAGAGGGAUGCGGAAUUCCAGGUGUAGCGGUGAAAUGCGUAGAUAUCAAGAGGAACACCAGUGGCGAAGGCGAGUCCCUGGACGAUACCUGACACUGAGGCACGAAAGCCGGGGGAGCAAACAGG